rnacentral:lncRNA from 1 species
AUUAUCUAAAUCCUUGUAAACUUUUUUUUUUUAUUAGUGUUAAUUUGUGUUACAACGGGUUAUGUGUGCUUCACACUUAUAAGCGUUUUAAAGUUUAUUUUGAUUGUCAAUUGGUGGCAAGAAUUUAAACAAUUCAGGCAAAAUAUGGUCACUCAACUAAAGAAUUUCAUCGUUAUUUUUGUAUUGGUAUACAUAAAUAAGCACAACAGUGCUCAGGGAAUAUUAAGUAAACACCGAGGCUGUAUCAAUGGGUGGUACUCAGGACCCUCCGCCCGCGGCGAAUCAUUCUGAAGGGUUGACGCGACGAAGCGGCAAAAGCGCUGUCAAGUGCUGCAACCAUUGACUACACAACAAUAACGUCUAAUAGCAGGGGCGCUUGUCGACGCUUUUUUGAACCUGAGCCUUGUAAAAUGCUGACGUGGAGCGUAGAUUGUAAACGUGUUUAUUCCGCUUUUAAUUCUGAACACAUUUUAUACAUGCUAGUAACUAUAAUUAUUUUUUGUAACGAUCAGUGUAGUUUUAUAGUGUUUUAUUGUAAAUUAAAUUUAAUUGCAUUUUUUGGGCAAUGACGAUGCAUCAUUUAAGUACCUACCUGCCUAUAUAAAACAUAAAAUACUUUUAUGAACGUAUAAUAUAUUUCUUGGUUCUCUUUCUCUUCUUCCCGAUAAACGGUCUUAAUCCAUAAUAUAUUUAGAAAUACAAAAAUAAGUAAUAAGAAUUAAGUUUAAUCAUUACGCGUACAAAAUAUUUAGUAAUUGUAUAUUUAUUUUGUUUAUUUUUUCGGGAUGGGUCUAUAGAUGAAGACCUUUGUAAUAAUUAUCUUUAUUACAUUCUAAAACGCACAAUACACUUCUACUUUAACAUUAAUGCAAUCGCCAAAAGGCAAAUAUUUUUAAACCACAUACACUUAACACAGGAGUUUUUAAUUAAUUCCCCACGAACAAUUACGUUUUAUUAACAUGUAAAGUGGGAAAUGUUCAAAUAAUGAAACGUGAACAAUGGGGAAUACAUCGCUGGUUUAACGCAUAUAAAACAUUUUAACGGGAAAUCCAUUUUUAUAUUAAAGUUGGAAUGUAGGCCAUUUUUUAUAGUCUCGACACAUUGUACACAAUUGGAAGUUUAAUUAAAAACACUACUACUAACAAGAUGUUUGUUUAUUUGGAUUUGCGAUUGGCUUACAAUGUAACUGAUUAUUGUUAUCAUUAAAGCAGCGAGAUGUGUAUCAUUAUAGAAUGUGUUAGAUCUAGAGAUGUCCGUGAAGCUCUGAGAAGAACUCCUAACAAAAACCGUAAAGAUAUCGGCAUCUUCCAAAUGUUCUCUCGAAUUCUCAAUUUGAUGGAGCUGCUCUUUUAUUUACAAUGUUGUAAGUAAUAUGGAAAUGAUUUAUACUAUGUUUUUACUAUGGAAUUGGCACGGCUUCCGAAGGGACUCAAAGCCUCUAAAGAAAUAAAGAACAAAAAUAAUUCAAGAGUGUGCAAGGAUGUUUCAAAAGAACGUCUUUCUCUUUUCCAUAGCAUAUCGUUUUGUACUUCGAUACCCUGGUGAUUAUCAUGUGUCUAACCCUUUUCCUUUACAAUGUUUUUUGCUUCAUAAGCCAUUAAUGAAUUAUCGCAAGUUUGAACCCCUUCCUUUAUAAAUUCUAAUAAUGGAAAAAAUAUUGAAAGUCUUUGUUUGAUACUGGAAUGUAGCAUGUAAUUAAAAUACCAAAAUGAAUACUAGAAAUUUUGUAAGAAUUUACUUUUUAAGUGGGUAAUAUUCUCCUGAUGUAAAAUAAAAAAAAAAAUCACUUCAACAGAAAAGCAAACAAGUUGUAUUAUACAAGUUGAAUAGAAAUGUUGUGGACAGUGAAUGGUUCUUAGAGAACUAAAGUAGCCACUGCUCUGAAUGCAAUACUACAAUAGUGCAUUCUGUGAAGAAAUGUAACAAAUGAAAUAUUCGAAGGUAAAUGGCACUAUAUGACAAUGUAUUACUAUAUUUAAAUGUAUUUUUAACUGAAUUCAAAACGAGGAGGUUCUCUAUUUAACUAUAUGUUUAAAUAUAUACAAUUAUUAAUUUCAAUCGUUCAGGAACCAUUUGAAAUAAAGUUAUAUUGAGAA